GGGGGCGAACAGGGUUCGACGGGAUUGAUAGAAACGAAUACAGCAGGCCGGAGUUGGUCAAUGGCUCCGUAAAAAUUGACCAAAUAAUAAACAACAUUAAAAACAAUGUUGCGGCAAGACCCGAUUUCGGGUUUAUGCCUUUAGCCGCUUAACAGCGCUACGCUUUACCAAAGAUAUCUGCUAUUUGGAUAAAGCGACAAGAGCAGGUUAGUUUCAAACAGCUUGUUCCGUCAGUUUGAAGCGAAAUCAAAACGGAGCUGGUUUAUAGCGUAAUCCCGUCCGGAGACGGCGCUAUAAACGAGAACAAAUUCCGGGCUAAGCCUGUAGCGGUUUCGUUGAUACAUUUUCGGACGCGGGUUCAAUUCCCGCCGCCUCCAA
rnacentral:tmRNA from 1 species